rnacentral:lncRNA from 1 species
GAUAUGACACGCUUUGUUAUUUUGUGAUAUUUUGUACUAUUAAAUAGUUAUUUUAUAUUUAUGGUUACUUUAGUUUAGGAUAUAUGGUUUUAAUUCACUCCCGAGGCUGAUAGUCUCAAUUUUAAUUUUUCAGGUGACAACUCGGUUCUCCGCCGACUUUCUCUUGGCAGCCCGAUUUCUUUCCCUUCAGACUUAUUGUAAUUAAAUUCUACCUUUUGUAUUUCGAAUUAUUUGAAAUUUUUGACUCUCCGCAUUAGUGGACCUGAAAUUUUACAUCUUAUUUUGGUUGGUUAAAAAUUAUAGAAAAAUUAUUAAGUACGCAUGCUAAUGGAUUAAUUUAACUGCAUUGUGAUUAUGUGAAUGAAUUGUUGAUUAUUUAGAUAGUGUAUAUACAUGUAUGCGUCUGUCUGGAUUAUUGGCUUGUUACGGGUUUCAGUGGCCUUAU